GCUUUCCUAAUGUCUUCCCAAUCUUUGGCAGGAAUAGCGAGAGACACUGCCAGAAGUGGCCAAUGUCCAGAGAAACAAAAAAGCCAUAGAAGUCCAAAGUCAGGGAUGGCUCACCUGAAUCCCAUAGCCUUGGGGAAGCAAUGGGGCCAGAACCCAGACUCACAUCUUUCGGUUUUGAUCCAUACAGGAAGACAGAAAAAGAAAAUGAAGAUUGUAACCUGGAAGACCCCUCAGGACUGUCCAGAAUAAGAGGUGCUAAGGGAUAACCCCUCCCUAAAUGGCCAGAAGAGGACCGUGGAGAAGAAAGCAUCUGUCUUUGUCUGACUGCAGCGGACCUCUCGGGACAGUUGGUUCUGUGAUUCUGGUUUGGGAGCAGGGAUGGGAGGAGGGGAGCUGGGUCUUCAGGGGCACCUCCAGGCCCACACCUGAGGGGGGAGGGGGAAGCUUCAUCCUGAAACCUUCUCCCAAGCAUUAGACAAUUUUCUUUUUGAUCACACCGAUUUUUUUCUGGCGGUCUUGAAAAUCAAAAUCCUACACUGACUGAUCCCUUUUUUCAAAAAAUUGAGUUAAAAUUUGCAUACACUGAAAAGCACAGAUAUUAAACGUACAUUUGAUGAGUUUUGACAAAUGUGUAACAAAGCAACCAACCAAAAGAGAACACUUCCACGUGCAUUUGAAAGCUUCUGUGUGGUACAGGUAUUGGCUGUAGCCCUUCUAUACUUGCAAUCAUGUCAGGUUAGUCAACAGUUUUGUUCAUAUCUGCAAUUUCCUUGCUGAUUUUCUUUCUAUCUGUCUUACCAAUUACUGAGAUGUGUUGAAAUCUUGAGCUACAGUUAUAGUUACCUGCUUUCCUCUUUCAAUCUGUUUGUGCUUCAUGUAUCUUGAAGCUCUAUUACUUGCAUACAUAUUACAAUUAUUGUCUUGUUAAAAAUGACAAAGAGUAACAAGUGUUGGUGAGGAUGUAGAGAUAAGGGAACCCUUCUGCACUAUUGGUGGGAAUGCAAAUUGGUGCAACCACUAUGGAAAGAUGUAUGGAGGGUCCUCGAAAAACAAAAAAAUAGAACUACCACAUAAGCCAGCAAUCCCACUUCUGGGAAUAUAUCUGAAGGAAAAAACUCCACUGUGUUGAAGAGAUAUGUGCACCCCCCUGCUCACUGCAGCAUUAUUUACAAUAACCAAGACACGGAAACAACCUAAGGGUCUAUCAAUGGAUGAAUAGAUUAAUAAGGUGUGGUAUAAAAUUGAAUAGUAUUAAGUCAUAAAAAAGAAGGAAAUCUUUCCAUUUGUAACAACAUGGAUGAACCUUGAGGGCAUUAUGCUAAGUGAAAUAAAUCAUACAGAAAAAGACAAAUCGUGUAUAGUCUCACUUAUAUGUGGAAUCUAAAACAAAACUCUCAAACUCAUAGAAAAAAGUUCAAAUUCAUGGUUAAAAGAGGUGAGAUGGUAUGAGGAGAGGUAACUGGAUGAAGUCAAAAGGUACAACUUCCAGUUACAAGUACUAGGGAUACGAGAUACAAUAGGGUGACUAUAGUUAACGCUGCUGUAUGGUGUAUUUGAAAGUUAAGAGUGUAAAUCCUAAGAGUUCUUAUCAUAAGGAAAAAGACAUUUUUUUCUUUUUCUUUUGUAUUUUUUGUAUCUGUAUGAGAAGAUGGAUAUUAACUAACUUAUUGUAAUAAUCAUUCUACAAUAUAUAAAAAUCAAAUCAUUAUACUAUAUGCUUUAAAUUUGUACAGUGCUGUAUGUCAAUUAUAUCUCAAUAAAACUGGAAAAAAUAAAGUACCCCAAGUACUAAAGAUAAAGUAUUCUAUCUUUUCAGGUAAAAAAAAAAAAAAGCAAACAAAAAAAUGUCCUCAUGAUUUCUGCAAAUCUAGAAUUUUGAGAGAGCCUUUCUGUCUUACAGGUUGCAAUUAAUGUUGACCAGUGCUGAAGAAUCAGGAUCUAGGACGGCUCUCUUGCAUAGCAGCCUGUAUGACCAUACCAAAGGAUAGGCAGACCAAGGCCCCGGUGGUAACCCCUAACCAGAGUGACUGCUGGGCUUUAGAGAAGAAUGAAGAGUAUUCAUUGGAACAGGUGCUAUAAAAAAUGAACCAGCUGAAUUUGGAAGGAAUUCAUUCACUGGUCCAAGGCCACAUGGCAGUAGGUUGAAGAGGAGAGAUUAGAAUCUAGGAGUAUCUAACUCCAGACCCAAAUUUGUAAUGGAGGCACCCCCCUGCUCACAACGCUGUACUGGCAGCAAGGAUGUAGACUUUGCUGAGACCAAAUGGGCUUCCCUUGUUCCUUCCCUUAUUCAUUCAUCCAACGUACAUUAAGCACCUGUUAUGCACCAGGUAUGAUGCUGGAUCCUGGGGCACCCUCCCUCCCCAACCAGCCAUUUUCCCACCUCUCUCAGCCUCCCCAC